AGUUUCGCACAGUGGCGGUAUCAUAGUCAAUGAGGUUUAUCUGAGGCGCGAUUGAUUACUGGUGAUUGAAAACUUUUCCCAAUACCCCGCCAUGAUGACUUGAAAUAUAGUCAGCAUUGGCAAUUUUUGACAGUCUCUACAGAGA
ensembl:snRNA U4 U4 spliceosomal RNA